rnacentral:rRNA from 1 species
CGAGGAAUAUUGCACACUGGACGCAAGUCUGAUGCAGUAACGCCGCGUGGGGGAAGAAGACCUUCGGGUUGUAAACCUCUUUUUGUAAAGACGAGUGAGGACGGUAUUUAUAGAAUAAGUCUCGGCUAACUACGUGCCAGCAGCCGCGGUAAGACGUAGGAGGCGAGCGUUAUCCGGAUUUACUGGGCGUAAAGCGCAUGUAGGCGGUUCGCUAAGUCCGCUGUUAAAGCCCCCGGCUCAACUGGGGGAGGUCAGUGGAGACUAUCGGACUUGAGGGCAACAGAGGCACGUGGAACUCCCGGUGUAGCGGUGGAAUGCGUAGAGAUCGGGAAGAACACCAGUGGCGAAGGCGACGUGCUGGGUUGCACCUGACGCUGAGAUGCGAAAGUGUGGGGAGCAAAC